GAGUUUGAUCGUGGCUCAGGAUGAACGCUGGCGGCGUGCCUAACACAUGCAAGUCGAACGGGAACCCUUGGAUUCGUCUGGGGGGGAGAGUGGCAAACGGGUGAGUAACACGUUGGUGACCUGCCCCAAAGAGGGGAAUAACCACUGGAAACGGUGGCUAAUACCCCAUGUGGUCUGUCGGUCGGAACGGCAGAUUAAAGCGCCCCAUUAGGGGCUGCGCUUUGGGAGGGGCCUGCGGCCCAUCAGGUAGUUGGUAGGGUAAUGGCCUACCAAGCCCGAUGACGGGUAGGGGCGUGAGAGCGUGAUCCCCCACACUGGCACUGAGACACGGGCCAGACUCCUACGGGAGGCAGCAGUGAGGAAUAUUGCCCAAUGGACGCAAGUCUGAGGCAGCAACGCCGCGUGGGUGAUG
rnacentral:rRNA from 1 species